ACACAGCACCCUCUCUCUCUCUCUCUCUUGUUCUAUUUGCAUGCCUCACCCGCACGCGAUCUCUUCUCUUUCUCGUGUGAUCCUUGACCCUCGUCCUUCGACGCCGCCGCCUCCGCCGCAUUCCUUGUUAUCCAUCGGUGUCAUUUCAUUCGUUACCAAUGCCAUUUUAUUCGUCAAAGGCACCUCAUUCGUCAUUGUAUUCGUCAUUGAAAAGGUUCCGUUGAUUAAUUUGAUACCCGAUGUUUGACGAAACGAUACUCGGGUUAAUUGGAGAUGACUCACUAGUAUCAUCGUAUGCGCCUAAACAACGAACAACCCGAGGACCAUGCCUAUCCAUAGGCCUGGUAACACAAAUCGAAAUCCACCAGUCGCUCCUCAAUCUGCAGAUUUGCCUCCGCCAAUAAAUCUACUUCAACAUAUAGCGGCAUCUACAGCCCCACCUUUGCCUACAAAUUCAUCUUAGCCUGCAGCAUCAGUUCCCCAAACGCAACAAGACAGCGUGGUGGGCCCUACAGUUGCACAAUUAUUACAAGCUAUGAUGGGGCUUAUGCAAACCAACAGCAACAACUUCAACAACACACACCUCCCGUUUCUUCCGAAGCAGGUCCUCGUGCCGUGCGAGGACCAUAAAUGAAUUUAAGAAAGCUGCCCCCUCAUCUUUUUCGGGCACCACCAAUCUAGAUGAGGCAGAACUUUGGGUUGAGGAAAUGGAAAAGCCUUUUACAACAAUGAGAUGUGACAAAAAGGAGAAGGUAAGGUUUGGAACAUAUAUGCUUCACGGUAGUGCAAAUAAUUGGUGGAAGAGUGAACUGCAUAUCCAUAAGGGCGACCCUAGGAGAUAUACCUGGGAGAUGUUCAGAACGGCCUUUUAUGCCAAGUACUUCCCUGUAAGCAAAUUACGACAACUUGGGAAACAAUUUCUUGAUCUAAAGCAAGGCUCAAUGUCCGUGAAGGAGUACGAGGCACAGUUCGACCAAUUUUCCCGCUUUGCUCCUAUACUCGUUGAGGACGACGAGUCUAAGGCCAAAAAGUUUGAAGAAGGCCAUAACGCACAUAUUCGUACCGGUUUAGAUGUGCUACACUUGGAUAGCUAUGACGACGUUGUGGGCCGAGCAAAAUCCUUGGAUGUUGUGUGGAGGCAAACACGUAAAGAAAGAAAUGCGACUUCGAAGAAAAGGAACAGAGAAUCAUUUUCAAAAAGUGAACAAAGCAAUAAAAGGUCAACCAAAUCUCUAGCUUCAGAAAGGCCUCACCAAAAAGAUAGAAGUUGUGGCUAAUUGGCUGAGCCUACUAGCGUUAGCGAGAUCCGAAGUUUCUUAGGUUUGGUGGGAUACUAUAGGAGAUUUGUAGAGGGCUUCUCUCGCAUUUGCAGUACCUUUGACUCGUUUAACUCGAAAGGGAGUCAAAUUUCAAUGGUCUGAUGAGUGUGAGCAAAAUUUCAAGGAGCUAAAGAAGCGACUUGUGUCGGCGCACAUCCUCACCUUGCCUGUUAGUGGUGAGAAAUUCACUAUUUAUAGUGAUGCUUCAAAGAAGGGAUUGGGAUAUAUUCUAAUGCAAAAUGAAAAAUAUUGCUAUGCCUCAUGACAAUUAGAGCAAUUUGAAGAGAACUAUCCCAAGCACGACCUAGAAUUGGCAGUGGUACUCUCUGCACUAAAAAUGUGGAGACGUUACCUCUAUGGCAAAUCGUGUGAAAUUUUUACAAAUCAUAAAAGCUUAAAAUAUAUUUUGAACUCAACAUAAGGCAAAGGAGAUGACUAGAGUUAUUGAAAAAUUACGAUGUAGCCAUGGGUCUGGUGUCCAAUUGGCCAAUUUACGGGUUCAACCCACUUUGAUUGAUAGGAUUAAAACUGCUCAGAUGAACAACCCCCAACUACAGAAGAUUCGACAAGUAAUGGAAUCACGUGCACAAUCAGAAUUCAAAAGUCACGACGACGGCUCUUUGAAAUUUGAAAAUCGCUCAUGUUCCUAAGGAUCCAGAACUCAAACAUGAAAUCCUGAAGGAAGCCCACUAUUCAAGAUACUCUGUGCACCCAGGAGGUACCAAACUGUACAGAGACUUAAAUAUCACUUUUUGGUGGAAUAAUAUGAAACGGGAGAUUGCAGAAUUUAUGGCCAAAUGUUUAACUUGUCAACAUAUCAAGAUUGAUAUGCAAAGAUCGACCGGUCUCCUUCAACUACUUCCAAUUCCCGAGUAGAAGUGGGAGCAUAUAACUAUGGAUUUUGUUACUAGUUUACCUAGAAGUAGAAAAUGGUAAUGAUGUUGUUUGGGUUAUAGUCGAUAGGUUGACUAAGUCAGCUCAUUUUUUGGCCAUAAAAUCGAUAUGACAUUAGAGAAACUGGCAAAGCUUUGUAUUGGGCAGAUAGUUCGAUUGCAUGGCGUUACUAUCUCGAUCAUUUCUGAUUGUGACCCAAGAUUUGUGUCUUAGUUCUGGCGGAGUUUACACAAGGCUCGUACAAGGAGCAGCCUAUCGGGAUCUUGGAUCGGAGGGAAAAGAUUUUGCAAGAAGGACGGUCCAGCUGGUACGGGUGCUGUGGAGGCAUCACACGGAGAAUGCAGAGAUAUAGGAACUUGAAGAAGAGAGACGAAGCAAGUAUCCUCAGCUCUCCCAAAUUUUGGUUAUGAACGGCUAGCGUUGUGGCCGGCUUCUUCGCGGGUAUGUGAAAGAUCGACAACAACCAGGAGCAAAUCAGGCGAUCACAAGACAGAAAAACGAGAGAGGUACCUCAGAAGAGAGGAAUUUAUUCUGUAUGCGCUUCCCGAUGGCGGACGACACAUAAUUGUAGCUUUCAUGGUAACGAGAGUCGGGGCGUGUGAGAUAAUCGAUGGGCAAUGACUCAUUAGAUAGAUUUCAUUUCAUAGACACUUAGUUUAUUCUAAUUAGAGUUUGAUCCAAUAGAACGAUUUAUUUAUUCUUAUUCACUAUAAUUGGAUACUUACUAUUUAUUGUUCAGCUUCGUUUUAAUUAACAAGUUAUUUUAUUUA